rnacentral:lncRNA from 1 species
UUUUUUUUUUUGAGACACAGUCUCACAGUGGCACAAUCUCAGCUUACUAUAACCUCUGCCUACUGGCUUCAGGUGAUUCUCCUGCCUCAGCCUCAUGAGUAACUGGAAGUACAGGCAUGUGCCACCACACCUGGCUAAUUUUUGUAUUUUUAAGAGAGACAGGGUUUUACCAUGUUGGCCAGGCUAGUCUUGAGCCCUGACCUCAAGUGGUCCACCUGCCUUGGCCUCCCAAAGUACUGAGAUUACAGGCAUGAGGCACCGCACCCUGCCCUUUCUGAAGAUACUAAUAGGGUUUUGAAAGCAUUUUCAUCUGCUUCACAGUUUUUCUCAAAUGCCUGCAUUGCCUUUCUUCUCUGCAGUUUCCUUGCUACUAGUCUGUUUUUCUUGGUAGAAAUUUUCCUCCUAUGUCAGGUUUGUAUCUGAGCUGUCCGUUUGUAUCUCAGAUUCAGCCACUAGCAAGACCAUGAAGAGCCUCAUGUGUUUUUGUGAGACUUGUUGACUGAUGUGCCCUACUAUAAAUUACUCGUUGAGAACCAGGCCACUUCUCAGAAGGACCUUCGAUAACAGGAUCUUCUUUUAAAUAUGUCUUUUUUCUUGGAUUUCGCAUGGUCCUCAGUCUCCUUCCCUCAAGGGCGUAGUGCUGCAUUUUGGUCACCAAGCAGAAAGGAGGUGGCGGUUUCAAUGUUCAGCGGGUUUUCACUUAAUGACCUAUUUCUAGUAAGGACUUUCAUGCUUGCCUUGCAGACCUUUGCUCCAGAAUGCAGGUGCCUCUGGGUGGGACUCUCCAGAGGAUGGCGCUCACUUCUUCUGCUGGGUUUGGGGAGGAACUGUUUCCUGGCUGGGGGAAGGGAUCCAGGUGGGCUAAUUUCUCUUUAUACAAAUUUUCAAUGAAUCUUUUUUUCCAUCCCCAUGCUACAUGCCUGCCUCCUUGAGUUGCUUGUCUCCAGUUCCCAAGGCCGGGUUCUGAGGUAAAAUUAGUCUAUCUCCUAACUUUACUUAUGACAGGCUCAAGUUUCAGAUUUCUUGGGUCUGCUAAGUCCAUGGCCACUUCUCCAUCUAUUUUCCAGUUUCUAAAAUACUGAUUCCCAUUUCUUCCUGAACCUUCUUUCACACUUUCUUUGUCUUUGCAGAUUUAUGCCUUUUUUUCUUUCUUCAUUGUCACUUUAGUAUAGUUUCAGAAGGAGGCUGACAUAAACAGGUGUGCUUAUAUAAUAGAUCUUCUUUUAUGACACUAUUGACUCGGAAAACAUAAGAACUAAAUCUGCUAAGUAAUAUGCAUCAUCCUUCUGGGUAAUGCUGUUUUUUGUCAAAUGCAAACUGUGAUGUGAAA